rnacentral:rRNA from 1 species
GUAGGUGGCAAGCGUUGUCCGGAAUUAUUGGGCGUAAAGCGCGCGCAGGCGGUUCUUUAAGUCUGAUGUGAAAGCCCACGGCUCAACCGUGGAGGGUCAUUGGAAACUGGAGAACUUGAGUACAGAAGAGGAAAGCGGAAUUCCACGUGUAGCGGUGAAAUGCGUAGAGAUGUGGAGGAACACCAGUGGCGAAGGCGGCUUUCUGGUCUGUAACUGACGCUGAGGCGCGAAAGCGUGGGGGAGCAAACAGGAUUAGAUACCCUGGUAGUCCAUGCCGUAAACGAUGAGUGCUAAGUGUUAGGGGGUUUCCGCCCCCCCCCUUAGUGCUGCAGCUAACGCAUUAAGCACUCCGCCUGGGGAUACGGCCGCAAGGCUG